UAUCGCAGCCAAACCACCUUGUCAAAAGCCUGAUUUCGUUAGAUCUCAGAAGCUAAGCAAGGCUGGGCCUGGUUAGUACUUGGAUGGGGGACUGAUGGGAAAAUCAAGUGCCACAAUGG
rnacentral:rRNA from 1 species